AAACCAGCACCUCAAGUGGUCAGGAUGAUUAUUGGGCCUAAAGCAUCCGUAGCCUGCUCUGUAAGUUUUCGGUUAAAUCUGUACGCUUAACGUACAGGCUGCCGGGAAUACUGCAGAGCUAGGGAGUGGGAGAGGUAGACGGUACUCGGGAGGAAGUGGUAAAAUGCUUUGAUCUCUCGAUGACCACCUGUGGCGAAGGCGGUCUACCAGAACACGUCCGACGGUGAGGGAUGAAAGCUGGGGGAGCAAACCGGAUUAGAUACCCGAGUAGUCC
rnacentral:rRNA from 1 species